AAGUUUUUCCUAGGCAAGAAGAUAGGACGCCAGACCCUUUCUUCAAACAGAGGCCUGCCAAUCCUGCAAGAAACCAUGAAACCACCCAAUGAGCUCACGUCCAGAGUCACUUGAUGGCCCCUGAAAGAAAAGAUGGAAGUGUCAAAGCCCUGUCUGACCUACAGGGUUUUCGGGGUUGCCUUCGUGGACGAUGAUAUGGCUGGAGGUUGGACCCCUUCGGUGAGGACCUUGAAAGUGAUACAUAUGUCAAAUGCUUGGCACAGGGCAGGGACACAGGAAGUACUGCGACCUGUGUGGUGUCCACUCGGUUUUGGAUGACUCUUGUGCGCAUGCGCAUUGUCUCCCACUCUGGACUGGGUGUUUCCUGAAUGUGGGUGUGACCACGUCAGCCUGGGAGUUAUGUUUUGUCUCCUCAGCCCAUUAGA